GAUGAAGAACGUAGCGAAAUGCGAUAAGUAAUGUGAAUUGCAGAAUUCAUUGAAUCAUCGAAUCUUUGAACGCACAUUGCGCCCCCUGGUAUUCCGGGGGGCAUGCCUGUCCGAGCGUCAUUACAACCCUCAAGCUCAGCUUGGUGUUGGGCCCCGCCGCCCCGGCGGGCCCUAAAGUCAGUGGCGGUGCCGUCCGGCUCCGAGCGUAGUAAUUCUUCUCGCUCUGGAGGUCCGGUCGUGUGCUCGCCAGCAACCCCCAAUUUUUUUCAGGUUGACCUCGGAUCAGGUAGGGAUACCCGCUGAACUUAAGCAUAUCAAUAAGCGGAGGA
rnacentral:misc_RNA from 1 species